GUGCUCACUUCUGCAGCACGUAUGCUAAAACUGUAAUAAUACAGAGAAGAUUAGCAUGAUUAGCAUGGCCCCUUCACACAAAUUUGUGAAGAAUUCCAUAUGUUU